rnacentral:rRNA from 1 species
AUUGAAUGCUGGCGGCAUGCCUUACACAUGCAAGUCGAACGGCAGCACGGGGCAACCUGGUGGCGAGUGGCGAACGGGUGAGUAAUGCAUCGGAACGUACCUUUCAGUGGGGGAUAACGUAGCGAAAGUUACGCUAAUACCGCAUAUUCUGUGAGCAGGAAAGCAGGGGAUCGCAAGACCUUGCGCUGAUUGAGCGGCCGAUGUCAGAUUAGCUAGUUGGUGAGGUAAAGGCUCACCAAGGCGACGAUCUGUAGCGGGUCUGAGAGGAUGAUCCGCCACACUGGAACUGAGACACGGUCCAGACGCCUACGGGAGGCAGCAGUGGGGAAUUUUGGACAAUGGGGGGAACCCUGAUCCAGCCAUGCCGCGUGAGUGAAGAAGGCCUUCGGGUUGUAAAGCUCUUUCGGCCGGGAAGAAAUCGCACGGGCUAAUACCCUGUGUGGAUGACGGUACCGGAAUAAGAAGCACCGGCUAACUACGUGCCAGCCGCCGCCGUAACAC